rnacentral:lncRNA from 1 species
UUGCUUGAAACCCAAUGUUCAAUGACUUAGAUUGAAAGUGGGUUUACGCCAAAAUUCUGCAAUUUUAAGUUAACACGUCAUUUAUACAAUAAAGUGUCCGUCUUUGAUGGAAUGUUGGCCUAAAUAUUAAUUGAUUUCUGUUUAAUUUUUUUUUCGGGUUAUGAUGAAUUGGUUGUGUUGUUUUUUGUGAUAAUAUGUUCGGUUAUUGUUGUAAAUUGUAUUAUUUAUGCGGCAAUAUCAGUUGUUGGCGAAUUGCUUUUAAUUGUCUGAAUAGGAAAUGCACAUGGAUUAUACUCUAGGACUGAAAGUUUUGACGACUACAGGUGUUUGAAAAACAUAUUUUGUGCAUCUACUCUGGUUCUGGGCCUGAUGGGUUGUAUUCUAU